UUAACCACCUGGCAACGUGAGCUACCGUGAUCAAGAAGGCGGUUCACCAGGGCGAGGCACAGCCAUUGCAGCUGUGGCUGUGCUGACCUCAGCGAAUUUGCCCAAAUGCGGAAAAUCCGAUUGCAUAACUUUUAAUGUUUAGUGGGGGACGUGCGUUCGUGUCUCCCCCUG